rnacentral:rRNA from 1 species
CAGGUCACUCCUACGGGAGGCAGCAGUCGGGAAUUUUGGGCAAUGGGCGAAAGCCUGACCCAGCAACGCCGCGUGAAGGAUGAAAUCCUUCGGGAUGUAAACUUCGCAAGAACGGGAAGAAUAAGUGAGAGUUAAUAUCUCUUACGAUGACGGUACUGUUUGUAAGCUCCGGCUAACUCCGUGCCAGCAGCCGCGGUAAUACGGGGGGAGCAAGCGUUGUUCGGAUUUACUGGGCGUAAAGGGCGCGUAGGCGGCCACCGCAAGUCAAUUGUGAAAUCUCCGGGCUCAACCCGGAACGGUCAACUGAUACUGCGGGGCUAGAGUGCAGAAGGGGCAACUGGAAUUCUCGGUGUAGCGGUGAAAUGCGUAGAUAUCGAGAGGAACACCUGCGGCGAAGGCGGGUUGCUGGGCUGACACUGACGCUGACAGCGCGAAAGCUAGGGGAGCGAACGGGAUUAGAUACCCUGGUAGUCCACGCUGUAAACGAUGAGCACUAGGUGUUGGUGGUAUCAACCCCGCCAGUGCCGUAGCUAACGCAUUAAGUGUCCCGCCUGGGGAGUACGGCCGCAAGGCUAAAACUUAAAGGAAUUGACG